CUUUUCUUUCUCCCUUCUUCCCUAUCACCCGCACGCCCAACUUCAUUUCCCUCUUCUUUCUUCUUCCUCUCUCCAUCCUUCCCUCGCACACCAGCCCCUCUCCCCAUCUCCUUUCUUCUCUUCAUCUCUCACCAUCACAUGCACACCCCCAACCCAUGAGCGAACCCGUGACACAAUGAGAUCGUGAGAGAGAUCAAGUGAGAGCUGAGUUGAGAGAGGACCCGAGUGUAGAGGGUGGUCCUUGGCCAGUAGUAGUGCGAUUUUGGAGCUGAGGUGUCUGGGCCACCGUCGGGUCAUGGAGGCAACAACUAGGGCGUGGAUUCCGGCCCUGUUUUGGAUAGUAUCCAGAUUGGAGACUUCAAUCGAUUCUCCAAUGUAGAGUCCAAGUGAUUAGAAUCCGAGGGGAUGUUGCAGCCAGAUUCUGUUGUUGGCUGUAGGUACUCCAGUCGUAGUAGAUGGUCUCGUAGAUGUGUUUUGAUACAUUAUGACCGAAGCUCGACGCGACGGUUGUAAUGUGAUAAACCGCGGGAUGUCCAUUCUUUUGGGUAUUUUGUAUAUGGCUUGUGACGCUUGUGUCACUUAAUCUUUAUUAAGCCAUUUUUGUUAUGUAUUUAUUAUGA